GACAGAGGGGGCAAGCGUUGCUCGGAAUUACUGGGCGUAAAGGGCGCGUAGGCGGGAUGGCAAGUCGGUCGUGAAAUCCCUCGGCUCAACUGAGGAUCGUCGAUCGAUACUGCCGUUCUUGAGGAUUGCAGAGGAGGCUGGAAUUCCCGGUGUAGCGGUGAAAUGUGUAGAGAUGUGGAGGAACACCGAUGGCGAAGGCAGCCUCCUGGGCCAGCACUGACGCUCAUGCACGAAAGCGUGGGGAGCAAACAGG
rnacentral:rRNA from 1 species